AGAGAUGAGGGGGUCGGGAAGGAGAGAAAUAUAGAGCAAGAAAGAGAGGUCAUGAGCCCAUGGGCCCCUGAGUUCUUCAAAAAUUAAAUUUUGAAUUAAAGUUAUAAACUUGGAUUUUGUCACAAGGAUUUAUACAGGAUACUAACCUCCACAUCAAAACCUUCAAUCCAAAUCGAAAUUCCAUACGUAAAACCUUGAUUUUGGACAAAAUUAACUGAAUGGAUUAUUACUAAAAAAGACUAUCAAGAAAAAAACUUCCAACAAACCAAAAUCUGCAGAAGAAACACAGUGGAACCUGGAAAUACCAUCCAACACAAAACUGAGUUUCCCCCGGAGCACUUUAGGAAGAAACUCGACGUCAGGAAAACCAACGCUCCCGGGAGAGAUGGUGACAUUUACAAGGUUGAUUGGAGGUUUUGUCACGCCUGCUUUGACAGACUGGCCAGAGCUCAGGUCUCAACAGUUUGGCAAUUAUCCUCUAACACACACACACACACACACACACACACACACACACACACACACACACACACACACACACACACACACACACACACACACACACACACACACACACACACACAGCCUGCAUGUCAAUGCGUCAAUGACAGGAGAUGGAGAUAAGCUGUCUGUAUUUCUCCACUCUCUCAAUCUCUCUCUCUCAUUAGUGUGUGUAUGUAAGGGGUUUGGUUGGUUGGGAAUAACUGUAGAGGUGUGAAACUCUGGAGACCUGUGUAGCGCAGUUGGUAGUGCAUGGGGCUGGCAGUGCCAGGGUUAUGAGUUCAAAUCCCAUGGGCGACUAGUAUGACCACAUAUGACUCACUACUGUCAGUUGCUCUGGAGAAGAAUGUCUGCUAAAUUACAAAUUUUUCAGUCUGACAUACCAGGCUGGUCACAAGAAAAGCACAGUUGAUUUUGGACAUUUGAAAAAGUCCUGAGGAUGUCGAUAUAUAGAAUGCAUUUGUAGGUGUUCACCCCCCUAAAAGAACAAUGGCACUGGGCUUGAACUCAGAGAGCACGGCUUAGAUCACACUUGUCUACCAAGCAGGGAGAGUGCUUGAUAAUACUUAAUGGAAGCAAAAAAUUACUUUUAGUAUCAAGCCUUCCCCAAACCAUAGCCCUAACUUUAACCAUUCGGAAUUAAUACCAAAACUUAACCCUUUGUGUUGUUUCUGUUUUAACUCUGUAACCACGUGGAAUGAAUGGGCAGAAAAUCACCUUUCAUCCAAUUGUGGCAAAUUCUGAAUUGAAAGUAUAAAAUCAGGUUGAAUAUACCAUCCAUCUUAAGCCUUUCCAGACACACACACACAUGCACGUACGUACGCACACACACACACAGACACACACACACACACACACACACACACACACACGCACGCACACACGCACGCACACACACACGCAGACACAGACACACACACACACACACACACACACACACGCACACACACGCACACACGCACGCACACACGCACGCACACACGCACGCACACACACACGCAGACACACACACACACACACGCAGACACACACACACACACAGAAGUAAUUGCAAAAUUGGGGCAACAGAAAUUAAAGCUUGAUCAGCAGGUGUAUCUCACUGAUCAUCCCUAAAGCCAACACCUCAAUUGGCCGCCUUUCCUUCCAGUUCUCUGCUGCCUGUGACUGGAACGAAUUGCAAAAAUCGCUGAAGUUGGAGAAUUUUAUCUCCCUCACCAACUUCAAACAUCUGCUAUCUGAGCAGCUAACCGAUCGCUGCAGCUGUACAUAGUCUAUCGGUAAAUAACCCACCCAAUUUUACCUACCUCUUCCCCAUACUGUUUAUAUUUAUUUACUUUUCUGCUCUUUUGCACACCAAUAUCUCUACCUGUACAUGACCAUCUGAUCAUUCAUCACUCCAGUGUUAAUCUGCAAAAUUGUAAUUAUUCGCCUACCUCUUCAUGCCUUUUGCACACAAUGUAUAUAGACUCCCCCUUUUUUUCUACUGUGUUAUUGACUUGUUAAUUGUUUACUCCAUGUGUAAAUCUGUGUUGUUGUCUGUUCACACUGCUAUGCUUUAUCUUGGCCAGGUCGCAGUUGCAAAUGAGAACUUGUUCUCAACUAGCCGUUUUCCUUUAUGACUUAAUUUGUAAUCAAGGUAUAAUUGAUUCUUUGUAUAUGUAAUUCUGUGUGAUUAGUUAGGUAAUUAGUAAAUAAAUAAUUAACCCACAUUUUUUAUUGCUGAUUCAACUUGUUAGCCAGGGUUCGUGAAGAUAACCAAGAAUUUACAACUUUAGGUUGUAAAUAGGUUAUUGUGGCGAAGUAAUUACAAUAUAGCAAUUAAACACUGGAAUUGUAGAUGUGCAGAAGAUGAAUGUGUAAAUAGAGAUACUGGGGUGCAAAGGAGCAAGAUAAAUAAAUAAAUACAUUAUGGGGAUGAGGUGGUUGGAUGGGCUAUUUACAGAUGGGCUAUGUACAGGUGCAAUGAUCUGUGAGCUGCUCUGACAGCUGGUGCUUAAAGGUAGUGAGGGAGAUAUGAGUCUCCAGCUUCAGUGAUUUUUGCAGUUCGUUCCGGUCAUUGGCAGCAGAGAACUGGAAGGAAAGACCAAAUGAAAAAUUGGCUUUGGGGGUGACCAGUGAGAUAUACCUGCUGGAGUGUGUGAUACAGGUGGGUGCUGCUAUGGUGACCAGUCAGCUGAGAUAAGGUGGAGAUUUACCUAGCAGAGACUUGUAGAUGACCUGGAGCCAGUGGUUUUGGCGACGAGAAUGAAGCGAGGGCCAGCCAACGAAAGCAUCCUGGUCGCAGUGAUGAACGGGGUACCUUCAGGCGUUUGGAAAUUGCUCCCAAGGAUGAACCAGACACGUGGAGUUCUUGGCUGAUUUAUUUUGAUUUUCCCAAGCAAAGAGGCACUGAGAUUGAAGGUUCUCAUCCACAUCACAAUGGAUGUUUUCAUUAGCCAAACAUCUUGGGAAGAAUCUUCGGGCGAAUCCAGGCCUGACACUGGUCUGCCGCCGACAGAGAUGAACUGGCGCCGACAGCAUCAAAGCUGGGACCGAGAGACUGAAAAACAGCUUCUAUCUCAAGGCCAUCAGACUGUUAAACAGCCACCACUAACAUUGAGUGGCUACUGCCAACACACUGUCAAUGACACUGACUCUACUCCAGCCACUUUAAUCAUGGGAAUUGAUGGGAAAUGAUGUAAAUAUAUCACUAGCCACUUUAAACAAUGCUACCUUAUAUAAUGUUACUUACCCUACAUUGUUCAUCUCAUAUGCAUACGUUGAUACUGUACUCUAUAUCAUCGACUGCAUCCUGAUGUAAUACAUGUAUCACUAGCCACUUUAACUAUGCCACUUGGUUUACAUACUUAUCUCAUAUGUAUAUACUGUACUCGAUAUCAUCUACUGUAUCUUGCCUAUGCUGCUCUGUACCAUCACUCAUUCAUAUAUCCUUAUGUACAUAUUCUUUAUCCCCUUACACUGUGUAUAAGACAGUAGUUUUUUUUGGAAUUGUUAGUUAGAUUACUUGCUCGUUAUUACUGCAUUGUCGGAACUAGAA
ensembl:lncRNA